GUGGGGAAUCUUCCGCAAUGGACGAAAGUCUGACGGAGCAACGCCGCGUGAGUGAUGAAGGUCUUCGGAUUGUAAAGCUCUGUUAAUCGGGACGAAAGAGCCUAGUGUGAAUAAUGCUAGGAAGUGACGGUACCGGAAUAGAAAGCCACGGCUAACUACGUGCCAGCAGCCGCGGUAAUACGUAGGUGGCAAGCGUUGUCCGGAAUUAUUGGGCGUAAAGCGCGCGCAGGCGGAUCUGCCAGUCUGUCUUAAAAGUUCGGGGCUUAACCCCGUGAGGGGAUGGAAACUACAGAUCUAGAGUAUCGGAGAGGAAAGUGGAAUUCCUAGUGUAGCGGUGAAAUGCGUAGAUAUUAGGAAGAACACCAGUGGCGAAGGCGACUUUCUGGACGAAAACUGACGCUGAGGCGCGAAAGCCAGGGGAGCGAACGGGAUUAGAAACCCGGGUAGUCC
rnacentral:rRNA from 1 species